rnacentral:lncRNA from 1 species
AUGGGGAAGGGAAGGGAAGGGGAAGGGGAGGGGAUGGGGAAGGGAAGGGAUGGAGAUGGGGAAGGGUUGGGGAAGGGAAGGCGAUGGAGAAGGGAUGGAGAAGGGAUGGGGAAGGGAUGGGGAAGGGAUAAGGAAGGGUUGGGUUGGGUUGGGUUGGGUUGGGUUGGNNNNNNNNNNNNNNNNNNNGAAGGGAAGGGAAGGGAAGGGAAGGGAAGGGAAGGGAAGGGAAGGGAAGGGAAGGGAAGGGGACACACGGGACAGUCGGUGCUGGGCACUCACAGCCAAAACCCAGAGUUGCAGGGAGGGGAAGGAGCCACAGCCCUCACUCGGACUGGAAAGAGCAGUUUAGCAACAACAAAAAAAAGGAGAAGAAAGGGAAAAAAAAAAAGUGGAUUUACAGGUACCCCACGGCUCUUAUUGCUAUCUGCAGCUGGUUGGAUUUUAGCUUCAAAAAAAAGCCCCGAACGCGAGGAUUUUCGCUCUCCGGGCGAGAUUUGGGCUCCUCAACCCCGUGCCAUGGGGGUCAAAUUCCUCCGGGAGGGGGAAUUCCUCGCUAGGGGGAAUUCCUCGGGGCCAAAUUCCUCGCUAGGGGCUGGGUUUGGGGGUCCCGGUCGUGUCCCCCCAGCCAGAAGCAGAGCCCCCAGCCCCCAAAAGCGGCCGGCGUCGCUUCACCCGCCGCACUCCUCGCCUCUACAGCAAACGUCCGCCGUGAAACCAGACCAGAACGGAAACUUUAAAGAACACAGAAGGGUAAAAAGCGUUGAAAUUACAAAUUUCCAACCACACCGAAGCUUUACUGGAUGAUUUGGGUUCGUCAGCCCCAGCCAGGGCGGCAUGGGGCUGGAGGUCCCGGUCCUAACCGUGGCUGGGAAGGGAUUUUCAUGGCAAAACUUUCCUUUUUCCCAGAGUUUUGCCCUCUGGAAAAGUGGCUCCAUCACCUCUAAGGGGAUUUUAACCCCUCUUGUCCACUAAACCUCGUUCUCCUGCCUGGAUUUCCUCCCAUAAAAGCGAGGGCAGAGGAGCUUUGGUGCGUCCCCAAAAAUGUCACCGCCCCUUGCGAGGCCAGCCCGGUUAGCAAGGUCUUGCUCUCUCCCCACCACCUCCGAGGUGGCUUUGGUGGGGGCAGCAGCAUGGCGGCCACCUCCUGGGCACCUUUUUCUCACCGUGGAUAUGGGCAGAGGAAAAGGCAGCGCCCCCAGGAGCGAGCCCCCACCCCAAAAUUUGGCCUCUCUGGGGUCCCCCGCAGCUCCGGUUCUCCCCGUGGGUGCCUGCAAAGGUGGCAGAGCGCUGGGUUUGGGCUGGAAAUCCUUCAAAACCCAUGAUGGAAACCCUUCUGCAACCAAAACACCAAAAUUUGGCUGCCAAAAGGGCUCGCCCAAGCCUCUCGCCCCCAUGGGCAGGAAAGGUUUUGGCUCCUCGCCCUCCGCGGGUGCCAUUGAGCCAGGGGAAGGAAAUAAUAAUAAAAAAAAAAAAGCACACCCAAACCUCAUCAGAUCCNNNNNNNNNNCCCAUGAUGGAAACCCUUCUGCAACCAAAACACCAAAAUUUGGCUGCCAAAAGGGCUCGCCCAAGCCUCUCGCCCCCAUGGGCAGGAAAGGUUUUGGCUCCUCGCCCUCCGCGGGUGCCAUUGAGCCAGGGGAAGGAAAUAAUAAUAAAAAAAAAAAACACACCCAAACCUCAUCAGAUCCCACCAGCGAGGAGGAGACUCCGUAACCAGCAGCUCUGCACCAUUUCUGGCACUUUCCUCCCCAAACUGAGCAUUCGGUGCUUUUCAAGGGCUCAAAAACCACAGGGAUGCUUCCCACCGAGGGGCUGGAGCUGUCGGAGGGCUCCAGGAGCAUCGCAGAGCCCGGGGGCUGCGGGACUCGCACACGUGCCGCGGGGCGAGCGCAAAUAUUUUGGCACGCUGGAGGGAAAAAUCCAAAAUCUAUUUUUUUUUCCUCUUAGGAAAAAGGAAGAAAAAUCUAGUUUUUGCUGAGAAUUUACAAAUGGUGUUGUCUGCAAGCGGGAAUGCCCUCGAGACAGCCCCCUGAGCCCUCGGGCACCUCGGGGAAGCCCGGCGAGCAGGGUGCCACCGACCGUGCGCCCAUGGGCGAGCCAAAAGUGCCCAGAAACGGCCCCAAUCCUCACAGCCUCCACGAGCCCCUCACCUCUGGCUGGAUCUUCACCACUUGGAGGAGCAUUUCUCCUCCAACCUCGUCCGUAACCCAAAAAAAAAUGGGGCAGGGGGCACGCCCUCACCAGCCAGCCUCCGUCCCCAAACCGCUGGGCUCCGCGCUCCCAUUCCCCAACCUCCAGCCGGGCUGAGAAGAGGCUGGGGAAUCUCUCACCAUGCCCAAAAGGAUCCUGGGGGGGUCCUGGCCGCCCCUUCCCAUGCCAAAAAACACUUUUUUGCCCCUUUUUGUCACAGCAGACCCGCUGGCGAGCGGUCCUCCUACGUCCUACAAGCGAGGAGGGCGAGCUCAGCACCUCACCGCAGAGCAGGCGUUAGGAUCGAUCACGACAGCUACCUGGAAGACACCAAUUUUUCCUGUAACGUGUUACGGAAGAUUAAAUAAUUUAAUGUUCUUCAACUAAAAACAUCCCCCCCCCAAAAAAAAAAACAAAAAAAACACCCGAGCGAAAGGGAAAAAACCCGCCUUUACCCCGCGUGGUUUUU